UCAAGUGGGCUAACGCAAGUAUGGAGGC
rnacentral:piRNA from 1 species